CACGUAUAUCAUCAGUUGACCGUGAUUGCUUAAGUGGUUAGGGAGGACAUGUCUACACUGUCUGGAUAAAGAAUGGGAGGCUUGACAAGAUUUGGAAAACCAAAUGUGAAGAAAGAAAGCUACGUGAGCAGGUUGAAGGAGAUUAAGGGGAGCAGCGAAUGCAAAAACAAUUGAAAGGUGUUAUGAGAAAAUUAGAUUAUCCGGGUACUUAAAGGUAGUUUUUUGUGUACUGUUUCGAUUAAUAUCUUAAAAAUUGUUAGUUUUGUAAUAUGUAAUAACUUGAGUUUAUGUUAUUGUAUCUGUGGUUAAUUUGUAAACAAA